rnacentral:rRNA from 1 species
UACGUAGGUGGCGAGCGUUGUCCGGAUUUACUGGGCGUAAAGGGAGCGUAGGCGGACUUUUAAGUGAGAUGUGGAAUACUCGGGCUCAACUUGAGUGCUGCAUUUCAAACUGGAAGUCUAGAGUGCAGGAGAGGAGAAUGGAAUUCCUAGUGUAGCGGUGAAAUGCGUAGAGAUUAGGAAGAACACCAGUGGCGAAGGCGAUUCUCUGGACUGUAACUGACGCUGAGGCUCGAAAGCGUGGGGAGCAAACAGG